rnacentral:rRNA from 1 species
AGGUUAAUGAGGCGAACCGGGGGAACUGAAACAUCUAAGUACCCCGAGGAAAAGAAAUCAACCGAGAUUCCCCCAGUAGCGGCGAGCGAACGGGGAGCAGCCCAGAGCCUGAAUCAGUGUGUGUGUUAGUGGAAGCGUCUGGAAAGGCGUGCGAUACAGGGUGACAGCCCCGUACACAAAAAUGCACAUGCUGUGAGCUCGAUGAGUAGGGCGGGACACGUGGUAUCCUGUCUGAAUAUGGGGGGACCAUCCUCCAAGGCUAAAUACUCCUGACUGACCGAUAGUGAACCAGUACCGUGAGGGAAAGGCGAAAAGAACCCCGGCGAGGGGAGUGAAAAAGAACCUGAAACCGUGUACGUACAAGCAGUGGGAGCACGCUUAGGCGUGUGACUGCGUACCUUUUGUAUAAUGGGUCAGCGACUUAUAUUCUGUAGCAAGGUUAACCGAAUAGGGGAGCCGAAGGGAAACCGAGUCUUAACUGGGCGUUAAGUUGCAGGGUAUAGACCCGAAACCCGGUGAUCUAGCCAUGGGCAGGUUGAAGGUUGGGUAACACUAACUGGAGGACCGAACCGACUAAUGUUGAAAAAUUAGCGGAUGACUUGUGGCUGGGGGUGAAAGGCCAAUCAAACCGGGAGAUAGCUGGUUCUCCCCGAAAGCUAUUUAGGUAGCGCCUCGUGAAUUCAUCUCCGGGGGUAGAGCACUGUUUCGGCAAGGGGGUCAUCCCGACUUACCAACCCGAUGCAAACUGCGAAUACCGGAGAAUGUUAUCACGGGAGACACACGGCGGGUGCUAACGUCCGUCGUGAAGAGGGAAACAACCCAGACCGCCAGCUAAGGUCCCAAAGUCAUGGUUAAGUGGGAAACGAUGUGGGAAGGCCCAGACAGCCAGGAUGUUGGCUUAGAAGCAGCCAUCAUUUAAAGAAAGCGUAAUAGCUCACUGGUCGAGUCGGCCUGCGCGGAAGAUGUAACGGGGCUAAACCAUGCACCGAAGCUGCGGCAGCGACGCUGAUGCGUUGUUGGGUAGGGGAGCGUUCUGUAAGCCUGCGAAGGUGUGCUGUGAGGCAUGCUGGAGGUAUCAGAAGUGCGAAUGCUGACAUAAGUAACGAUAAAGCGGGUGAAAAGCCCGCUCGCCGGAAGACCAAGGGUUCCUGUCCAACGUUAAUCGGGGCAGGGUGAGUCGACCCCUAAGGCGAGGCCGAAAGGCGUAGUCGAUGGGAAACAGGUUAAUAUUCCUGUGCUUGGUGUUACUGCGAAGGGGGGACGGAGAAGGCUAUGUUGGCCGGGCGACGGUUGUCCCGGUUUAAGCGUGUAGGCUGGUUUUCCAGGCAAAUCCGGAAAAUCAAGGCUGAGGCGUGAUGACGAGGCACUACGGUGCUGAAGCAACAAAUGCCCUGCUUCCAGGAAAAGCCUCUAAGCAUCAGGUAACAUCAAAUCGUACCCCAAACCGACACAGGUGGUCAGGUAGAGAAUACCAAGGCGCUUGAGAGAACUCGGGUGAAGGAACUAGGCAAAAUGGUGCCGUAACUUCGGGAGAAGGCACGCUGAUAUGUAGGUGAAGUCCCUCGCGGAUGGAGCUGAAAUCAGUCGAAGAUACCAGCUGGCUGCAACUGUUUAUUAAAAACACAGCACUGUGCAAACACGAAAGUGGACGUAUACGGUGUGACGCCUGCCCGGUGCCGGAAGGUUAAUUGAUGGGGUCAGCGCAAGCGAAGCUCUUGAUCGAAGCCCCGGUAAACGGCGGCCGUAACUAUAACGGUCCUAAGGUAGCGAAAUUCCUUGUCGGGUAAGUUCCGACCUGCACGAAUGGCGUAAUGAUGGCCAGGCUGUCUCCACCCGAGACUCAGUGAAAUUGAACUCGCUGUGAAGAUGCAGUGUACCCGCGGCAAGACGGAAAGACCCCGUGAACCUUUACUAUAGCUUGACACUGAACAUUGAGCCUUGAUGUGUAGGAUAGGUGGGAGGCUUUGAAGUGUGGACGCCAGUCUGCAUGGAGCCGACCUUGAAAUACCACCCUUUAAUGUUU